CGGCGACGGGUGAGUACACGUGGGUGAUCUGCCUCGCACUCUGGGAUAAGCCUGGGAAACUGGGUCUAAUACCGGAUAUGAACAUGGUCUGCAUGGACUGUGUUGGAAAGGUUUACUGGUGCGAGAUGGGCCCGCGGCCUAUCAGCUUGUUGGUGGGGUAACGGCCUACCAAGGCGACGACGGGUAGCCGACCUGAGAGGGUGACCGGCCACACUGGGACUGAGACACGGCCCAGACUCCUACGGGAGGCAGCAGUGGGGAAUAUUGCACAAUGGGCGAAAGCCUGAUGCAGCGACGCCGCGUGGGGGAUGACGGCCUUCGGGUUGUAAACCCCUUUCGACAGGGACGAAGCGCAAGUGACGGUACCUGUAGAAGAAGCACCGGCCAACUACGUGCCAGCAGCCGCGGUAAUACG
rnacentral:rRNA from 1 species